rnacentral:rRNA from 1 species
GACGAACGCUGGCGGCGUGCCUAACACAUGCAAGUCGAGCGGGGACAGUGGAGAGCUUGCUCAAAGCUGUUCUAGCGGCGGACGGGUGAGUAACGCGUGAGCAAUCUGUCCUGCACAGGGGGAUAACAACUGGAAACAGUUGCUAAUACCGCAUGAGACCACAGAGUCGCAUGGCUUAGGGGUCAAAGGAGCAAUCCGGUGCAGGGUGAGCUCGCGUCCGAUUAGGUAGUUGGUGAGGUAACGGCCCACCAAGCCGACGAUCGGUAGCCGGACUGAGAGGUUGAACGGCCACAUUGGGACUGAGACACGGCCCAGACUCCUACGGGAGGCAGCAGUGGGGAAUAUUGGGCAAUGGGCGCAAGCCUGACCCAGCAACGCCGCGUGAAGGAUGAAGGUUUUCGGAUUGUAAACUUCUUUGACCGAGGACGAAAAUGACGGUACUCGGAAAACAAGCCACGGCUAACUACGUG